rnacentral:lncRNA from 1 species
CACCCCCUACUGGGUAUGGGUUCCAUAACAUGGGAGAAAGAGGGAGUGGAGGGAGAAAGAGGGAGUGGAGGGAGAAAGAGGGAGUGGAGGGAGAAAGAGGGAGUGGAGGAGAAAGAGGGAGUGGAGGAGAAAGAGGGAGUGGAGGAGAAAGGAUAAAAAGAUUGGAAAAAGGUACACGCCUUAUCGUUGUGCAUUGAAUUUAGAGUGUAAUGGAACAUUCACGUGUAGAAGUCUACUUGUUGCCAUGUUGUGAACAGAGUAAUACACAUUACUCACCAACUUUCAGGUAAAGAAAAGAAAAUCCAUGAUAGAUGAGGUCUGUCAAGAGCCUGCUAUUGUCAUGGUUCAUAUUAGCAUGCCAUUAGUUAAUUGAGCCGUGACUAUGAUGAAGUAGCCAUAUGAUGUGCAGUACAAAGAAACUGUCCCCUCUGUCCCACCCUGAUGGUAAAAAAAAUACAUUCUGAGAGUACUCAUGUUUCACUGGUACUCGCACACAGCCUCCCCAAAACCUGAAGCAGAGGACUCUGGGAAAAGCGAGAAGCCCUCUAGGAAAGUGGAGCGGAUGGAGGAAAAGAACGAGAAGACAACAGAGAAGGAGAGAUAUAAAGUUCCCCCCCAACCUGAGGAAGAGGGCCCUGGAGAGAGAGAGUGGCCCUCUGAGGGACUGAGAGAAAGGGAAGCAGUGAUGGAGAAAGAGAAGGAGAUUGAGGCAGAAGGUAUCUGUCAUUGUGUAGGAUUUCAAUGGACUUCAUUAGUUAGUAGCUUUAGAACUCAUUGUGUUGCUAUGAACUAGACUGGACUAUUACAAUAGUAGGUACAAUAGUAUAAUGGAUGGAUGAAUAGAUGAAUGAAUGAAGAGGACGAACGAAGGAACAAACAAAAACACUAAUGAACAAACAAACGAAUGAUGUGACCUGUUAGUGCUCACAGUCUCUCCUACUCCUGAAGUAGAGGAGACGGGAAAACCUUCUGAGAAAGAAGGAGAGCAAGAGGGGAAAGAGGAGGACACAGAAAGCAACCCUGAAGGUAUAUUCCCUAGAUGAGUUGUACAUGUAUGGAGCUAGUGUGUAGUGCUAGUGAAUGUAUGAGUUGGUAUAGACCAGUGCAUAGAUGUGUAUAGUUCAAAAGCAAAUACAAGUUGGAGUACAGUAGAUUCUCCUUCAGACAUGACCAGUCAAUGUGUAGAGCUGUUGAUCAGUCGAAGCCUGUCGAAGUUGGAGCUACUGGGAACAGUCAGACAGCACUAAUCAACCUGUAGAGCAAUAGAUUUCAGAUCUCUCACUCUUCCUCUGUGGUGAUCCAGAGGAAGUUCCCAAACCCCCUGAAUGGGACAUCUGGGGUCAGGAGACCUUAGAGCCCCCUGGGAGAGAGGAGAAGAAGAAGAAAAAGUGGGAGGAGGAAGAGAGUGAAGAGGGAGAGUUUUCAAAAAAGAAAGGUAGAACUCAAGUACUGUACAUUGGCUAGUGUGUAGUGUACAUACCAUGUAGGCUAGGAUCCGGUAGACUCCACCUCUCCCAAGCCAUAUCCUUAAUACUGUAUAACUAGGUGAUGACCAACCCAUAAAGAUUAAACUAGCUGGUUUAGAACUGCCCUCAAGCAAGAUGUCUGACAAACUGUUCCAUUGCAGGACAUUGGGGCUCUGCUCCAUAACAUCACCCUUUCUAGAUGUAUAUCUGUAUGGACCUACCUCUCCAUACAAUGCAUUUGGAAAGGAUUCAGACCCCUUCACUUUUUCCACAUUUUGUUACGUUACAGCCUUAUUCUAUAAUGGAUUCAAUUGUUUUUUUCCCCUCAUCAAUCUAACACAAUACCCCCUAAUUACAAAGAAAAAACAGAUUUUUAACUCAGUACUUUUUUGAAGCACCUUGGGCUGUGAUUAUAGCCUCGGGUCUUCUUGGGUAUGAUGCUACAAGCUUGACACACCUGUAUUUGGGGAGUUUCUCCCGUUCUUCUCUGCAGAUCCUCUCAAGCUGUCAGGUUGGAUGGAGAGCAUCGCUGCACAGCUAUUUUCAGGUCUCUCCAGAGAUGUUCGAUCGAGUUCAAGUCCGGGAUCUGGCUGGGCCACUCAAGGAUAUUCAGAGACUUGUCCCGAAGCCACUCCUGCGUUGUCUUGGCUGUGUGUUUAGGGUCGCUGUCCUGUUGGAAGGUGAACCUUCAUGUGCCUUUUACUGAGGAGUGGCCACUCUACCAUAAAGGCCUGAUUGGUGGAUGGUUGUCCUUCUGGAAGGUUCUCCCAUCUCCACAGAGAAACUCUAGAGCUUUGUCAGAGUAACCAUUGGGUUCUUGGUCACCUCCCUGACCAAGGCCCUUCUCCCCCGAUUGCUCUGUUUGGUCGGGCGGCCAGCUCUAGGAAGAGUCUUAGUGGUUCCAAACUUCUUCCAUUUAGGAAUGAUGGAGGCCACUGUUCAUGGGGACCUUCAAUGCUGCAGACAUUUUUUGUCACCUUUUCCCAGAUCUAUGCCUAGACACAAUCCUGUCUCGGAGCUCUACGGUCAAUUCCUUCGACCUCAUGGCUUGGUUGUUUCUCUGACAUGCACUGUCAACUGUGGGACCUUAUAUAGACGGGUGUGAUCGUUUCCAAAUCAUCUCCAAUCAAUUGAAUUUACCACAGGUGGACCCCAAUCAAGAUGUAGAAACAUCUCAAUGAUGAUGAACAGAAACAGGAUGCACUUGGGCUCAAUUUCAAGUCUCAUAGCAAAGGGACUGAAUACUUAAAUAUUUAUGUAUAUAAGGUACAUCUGUUUUUUAUUUUUAACAAAAUUGCAAAAACCUUUUUUCGCUUUGUCAUUAUGGGGUAUUGUGUGUAGAUUGACUCAGGUUGGAUCCAGGAAACCCAUCUAAAACAAAGAUUCGUUCAUCUCCUAAAGGGAUUCUCAAGCUCUUGAUCUCAGGAGGAGAGCCUGAGGCCAGACAGUUGUAUGGGAUCAUAUAUGAUGAUUUCAAAGGUAAGGCACUGAACAAGAAUAGCUAGCAGGGGAGUGACUGAGGAUGCUUACAGGACACUGGAGCGCCAUGGAAUCCUGUUUUGUAGGCUUACCAUCAGUGGUGCUAGUGGAGUAGCUAGCAUUGAGUUGAGUUAGUGAAGAGUUAGUAGAGUGGUUUUGAGUUAGUAGAGUGGUUUUGACUCAGUUGAAUAGCAUUGAGUCAGUAGAGCUAGUUGAAUAGCAUUGAGUCAGUAGAGCUAGUUGAAUAGCAUUGAGUCAGGAGAGCUAGUUGAAUAGCAUUGAGUCAGUAGAGCUAGUUGAAUAGCAUUGAGUCAGUAGAGCUAGUUGAAUAGCAUUGAGUCAGGAGAGCUAGUUGAAUAGCAUUGAGUCAGUAGAGUUAGUUGAGUAGCAUGGAGUCAGUAGUAGAGUAGUAUCGAAGAAAACAGUUUUUGGAAAUGGUCUCUGUCUGAAUGACCAGAUUGGUGUCAAAAACUGUGGAAAGAUUCCAUCUCUUUGCAUGUUUCAAUUCUUCCUUCUCUGACUGUGUCAUUUCUUAUCAUCAUGUUGGUAUUGUUUGGCUCACAAGGUAAGCAUCAAGAUGUCCUAGUUACUGUCACUAUCUUGUCAUUGCUAUCACUAUUCACCGUUAAAACAGGUCAAUUAGCUCCCUGUCCAACACCUCUCUUGUGUCAGAUAUCAUUUCGUCCCCCAGAUUUAACUGUCCAGGAAUAUAGGCCUACGAAACCUUCAAAAUAACAGUAUCUCCAUUGUUACCAUUUUAUUUUACAGCCUUCCGUAAAUAAAGUCCCAUCUUGACUUUGCAUAUAUUUGUGGAACUAUGUCCCGGUGCUCUCUCUCUCUCUCUGCCGUCUGUGGAACUAUGUCCCGGUGCUCUCUCUCUCUCUCUGCCGUCUGUGGAACUAUGUCCCGGUGCUCUCUCUCUCU